rnacentral:rRNA from 1 species
GACGAACGCUGGCGGCGUGCUUAAUACAUGCAAGUCGAACGAAAAGGCCCUGCUUUUGUGCGUUGCUCGAGUGUCGAACGUGUGAUUAUCACGUGAGUACCCUUCCCUUGUCUUUGGUCUAACUUCGUGAAACUCUGGCUAAUACCGGGUAGGAGUUCCUGCUCCAUGUUGUGCGUUGGUUAGUUUCGGCGGUUGGGUAUGUACUCGCGGCGUCUCAUCUUGUUGGUGGGGUAGUGGCUUACCAAGUCUUUGACGGGUAGCGUGCCUGGUAGAGUUACCGGCCACAGAGAGACUGAGAUACGGCACAAACUCCUACGGGAGGCAGAAGGGGGGAAGAUUGAACAAUGGGCGGAAGCCUGAUGCAGAAACGCCGCGUGCGGGAUGACGGCCUUCGGGGGGUAAACCGCUUGCGCAUGUGACGAAGCGUGAGUGACGGUAAUGGGUAAAGAAGCACCGGCUAACUACGUG